rnacentral:rRNA from 1 species
UACGUAGGGGGCAAGCGUUGUCCGGAUUUAUUGGGCGUAAAGAGCUCGUAGGCGGUCUGUCGCGUCGGUCGUGAAAACUUGGGGCUUAACCCUGAGCUUGCGGUCGAUACGGGCAUGACUGGAGUUCGGUAGGGGAGACUGGAAUUCCUGGUGUAGCGGUGAAAUGCGCAGAUAUCAGGAGGAACACCGGUGGCGAAGGCGGGUCUCUGGGCCGAUACUGACGCUGAGGAGCGAAAGCGUGGGGAGCGAACAGG